rnacentral:tRNA from 1 species
GAAAGCUCAGCUCGGUAGAGCGACGGCUUCGUAAGCCGUAAGUCCUGGGAUCAAAGCCCAGC